UAUAUUUGCACGCUAAUAGCAAAGAGCUAUUGAUACAUAAAAAUCAUUUAAAUAAUAUUGGAAUG
rfam:Aquimarina atlantica strain 22II-S11-z7 contig3, whole genome shotgun sequence.